GCACGUCAUUUCUAAGAAGAACAAGAAGGCACAGCAAUUGCUGGUCGUCGGUCUCUUCCAUUGAAGGAGAAGAAUCACAAGAGCAAACCCAAACCUGAUCUAUGCUCCAGACGAUAGGGAUCUGUCAAUGCAUUGCUGCAGAUAAUAGAGGCAACGCCACAAAAAUUUGUGGUCGCAGGUGAAUCAUAUUAUAUUCAAAUAUUUAUGAAUAUCUGCUGAACGGUGGCAUGUAGCUUUUGGAAAUUAGUUAAUGUAGCUAGUAAAGGGACAAUUUAUCAUUGAAAAGUCUCCAAUUAUCUCUUGUAUAUUGAGAAGGUCAAGUCAAUCAAGGGCUAGUCUUAGAUGCAAAGAUCUCAGGAACACCAUAAUUCAGCUGGUAUUCACUGGUUUAACCACCAAUCACAAGAGAUUGAUCCAUAUGGUUUGUCUCAUAUACAAAUUUUAAACAACAAUUUAUUCUCUGAUGUCGGCAGUCAAGGAAUCACUGUUUCCUUUCAA
rnacentral:misc_RNA from 1 species